AACGAACGCUGGCGGCAUGCCUAACACAUGCAAGUCGAACGGCUCUUCGGAGCAGUGGCGCACGGGUGAGUAACGCGUGGGAACCUACCCUGAGGUUCGGAAUAACGGCUGGAAACGGCC
rnacentral:rRNA from 1 species